GUGUCCCGCGGCCCGGGGCUCACUGCUGUCACAGCCGGGCCCUGGCAGCGGCCCAGGGCGCCGUCACUGCUCAGGGCUGAGGCCCAGCGGCUCAGGCGGCAGGAGAAAUCCCCUGGCCGUACAGUAAGUCCUGUGACACGGUAUCAUUUGACUGAAUUAGCUCAAAUGACGGGGAUGCAAUUGACCGAAAGCUGCCUGGGGCGGUGACUCAGUCUGUGCCCGCAGCGCCCGUGCCAGCCGGGCCCAGCGGCUCCCCAGGGAAAUCCGGUGGCUCUGCCGGGGGUGCUGCAGUCAUGGACAGAGCUGCGGGAAGAACGCAUUUCUGAAACUGAUUUCAAAACCAAAAGUGAGUGAGGGUCAGAAACAAGAGGCCAAAGUGAAGAAAUGUGCUCAUCAAAGGCUUUGAAAAACUUUUUAAAGAAGAAUAAUUUCUAACUGAAGAUUUCUGCAGACAAAUGUAGAGGGUCACAUUCUUAGCUGGUAUAAAAAUGAGGUAUACAGAAGAGUUUAAAUGUUAACCACAGCCAGGUUUUCAACAAUAUGAGCUGAGGCAUAGGUCAAAGGUUCCACGAGCUACAUGAAUCAACAGAUGUAGUAGUUUUGAAGAUGUACACUGAACCUCCUUGGAACUUCUUAAAAUAGAGUGGCUGCUGAAACAAGAUCCAGUGGCGUUGCCGGCUGCCUAGACACCGUUCUAUUUUAAUAAGUGUCAUGGAUGCUUUGGGGCAUAUCAAAAAUAAAUGGCAGUAAGUAGGAGAUUGUAAAUUGGCGACACCCUGGAGGAGAGUUAAACACGUGGACAGAACUUCUGUGUGGAACGUUUUGUUUCCAGCUAUGUACAUGAAAGGCAUUUCUGAGAAGAAAGUUGCUGCAGUCACAGCCUAGCAAAGCAAACUUACUAAUUAACUGCAGGCUGCACCACUUGCACUUAGCUACGUGCCCAGGCUGACAACACCGCCUUCAGUGCUGCUUUGCAAACAAAUUUAAAUAUUCAGCGCACAGCUUCUGGGAAAAAGGCCAUCUUUCUUCAUGCUGUAGCUCUGGGAUGUAACAUUUAUUAGUGACUUAUGCUUAUUUCCACUGGCUUUGUGAUGCCAGGAGAGUUAGCAGCAGGCUGAAUCCUCUAGGUGUAUACACCCAGUAGGAAUGGGGAAGGGAAGGAACUACCAUGAGGGAUGGAACAGGGAGGAAUGUGGAGAUGCCUGUGCAAUGCUGGUUGGCAGUAUGGUUGUCUGGAAAAACAAAAUCUCCUUUGUGGCAAACGUAGAGGUUUAAAAUCUGUUUACACUGUGUAUCAGAAUGUGAAUAAUUUCUAUUUAAAAAGUACACCAAAAGUAAGUAAAAGCAAAGAGUAUCUCUGCCAAGUGUCUGAUAACCAGCCUCAAUAUCUUUUGAUCUUCUCUGUGUCUUCUACCAGUUUCCAGGCUCA